UUUUUUUUACUAAGACCGACAAAUCAGGCAAUUCAAAUCUGAACACACCCAAUAAAAUCAAAAAAACAGAAUAUCACAAAAUGUUCUAGGCAAAUCCUCUCUUCAGAUCCAUAAGUUGCCACCAGAGUAAUUGGCAGCAUAAGUGGCCACCUAGUUUGCAGCACUGUUGGCCUUCCAGAAGACGUGCUUAGCCUGAAAGGCCAUUUCGUCCCCACUCAUCGACCAAAUGUUUCGAAGUAGAGAGUGGUCCCAUUCCUCCAACCCCUUCUCUAGCCACAUUGCGAGUCGCUGCGAACGGAAAAAGAAAAAGAAAAGUAGAAAUCAAUGGAAUCGAAUAUAAUAGAUGAUCAAAGAAACUACAAAUCAAGAACCCUAAAUUUUGGGAUGGUCGGAUCGAUGAUGCAGCUAGGAGGGAAAGCAGGGUUAAUCUAGUUUUUUUCUUUCUAGUGGCAUUUCUGAAAAUUUUGGAAUAGAUUGGUGGGUGUGAGGCAUCACUAAGAGGAUAAGAAAAGCCAACUUGCGCACAAAAAUGAGAAAUUAGGCUCUAUUUUAAAACGCUGCAAUUGUAAAUUUUU
rnacentral:lncRNA from 1 species